rnacentral:rRNA from 1 species
UACAGAGGGUGCGAGCGUUAAUCGGAAUUACUGGGCGUAAAGCGCGCGUAGGCGGCUUUGCAAGCCGGAUGUGAAAUCCCCGGGCUUAACCUGGGAACUGCAUUCGGGACUGCAUUGCUAGAGUAUGGGAGAGGGAAGUGGAAUUUCAGGUGUAGCGGUGAAAUGCGUAGAUAUCUGUAGGAACAUCAGUGGCGAAAGCGACUUCCUGGACCAAUACUGACGCUCAUGUGCGAAAGCGUGGGGAGCAAACAGG